GGAAGCUGGAAGAUAUAUAUAGUUUUUGGAACAAAAGAACUUGGCAGCUGGCUUCGAAAUUGGCACACAAUGGAGCGGCACAUGCCACACACUGCCAAAAAAGAGGGAGUCCUGAAUAGAAGAAGUUGACAAAAAAAAAAGAAGAAGGAGAAAAAAACCAGGACACGACUUCAAGGAGCUGGCGCAAUAACUGUGCACAUUGACAAAAAGGAAGCGGCAGGAUCUCAACAAUGGAAAAGUGAAAAAUCGACGAAGGAGGCAACACCCAAAGGACAGCUGUCUCCGUUUGUUCAAGUUCCUGGCAAGGAUCUGCCAAGGACUCGCUUAGAAUGAAGGAAUUAUGGAUGUAUUACCUGGAUUUUUGGAUUUAAAAAUGAAAGCAUAUUCCUUCUGAAAACAGUUGGAAGGGAAACAUUACGCGCGACUACGCGGUCAAUUGGUAAUUGGAUUAUGGCAUUUAUUUAUUCAACCCUUUUUUUGUUUCUCAACCCGGGCAUCCCGGGCAUCCCAGGCAACCCAGCAUCCAGGGCGAUCAACUGUUGACCCUUUGACCCGACGGCGACCCCUGCCAACUUUUCAAUCGAAAGAUGUGCCUUUGGCUGCUGAUGAUCCGGCUUUUUAGGGACCACGAGUUCCGAGACAUCCCAUCCGACAUCCCGAGACCAAGAAAAACACGGAAAAUUAAUUAAGAAAACAGAAAACCCGCCCCGCGGACUUCCACUGUCCCAUGGCGGAUUUUUAUUACUUGUAAGUCAUUUAUGCACACAUCAGUGAACAGGACACGGACUAUAUAUCUGUUAUAUAUGGCUGGAGAUUAUGUGUAAUAAGUAUCAUAUUUUAUUGGACGGGUUUCGGGCUUUACAAGCCAGCUAACAGAUGUUUUUGAGGUGUUUCCGUGGGACUCUAGCUUUGAUUUUGAAAGGAAUGUGAAGAGAUUUUCAGCUUUAAGGUCAUAGAGAACUUUAAAGAUAGUCUACCUUACUUACUAAAUUUAAAUACAAUUUUUCUUAAAUAUUCAGACCAUAAAAAAGUAAUCACCUCAGUAAGUAUUACAAAUAUUUUUAAGAAAAGAAACCAUUUCUAAUAACAGAUGUUUUUUUAAUAACAGGAGUUUCUUAUAGACUAUGGCUCUUCAAGAAAGUCGAACUUUGAGAAAAUAUAUAAUUUUGAAAGGAUUAUGAAGAGAUUUUCAGGUUUAAGGACUUAGAGACCCAAAAAAAACCUUCUUUUUUAAAAAACAAACUUUAAAGAUAGUCUACCUUACUUGCUAAAUUUAAAUAAAAUUUUUCUUAAAUAUUUUAACCAUA